UUUUAUUCUCUGAUCUUUGUCUAAGAUCAAGUUUAACAUCUGUUCUUACCAGUUAAAUAUCUUUAACAUCCUUGAGUUGAACUAUUAAACAGAUUUUUGGGACUGAAAGAUGGGUUAGAACUUUAUCCUGUGUGUCUGCCUGUUAUUGCAGUGUCUCCAGAAGAAGCACACCAAGG
ensembl:snRNA U2 U2 spliceosomal RNA